CUCCUCCCCGCUGCACGCUGCUGCAGGCUCAUCCGCUCACACACGCUCCGUGCUGGGUUACAGUGACAAGGGCCCCUGUCUGAACCACGACUUUUAGAAAGAUAAUAUUACAGGCUCACAACUGAUCCAAUCCUGCAGCACAAAAAUUGAGACAGAGAAGGUUAAAGCACUCUGAAUGCACGGGACCAUACUGCAGGUGUUUGUGCCUUUGGAGAAGCCUUGGUGUUUUGUUCCUCCUGAGCUCCGCAUGAUGACCCGCAUGGAGACAGGUCUCAGAAAGCGCCUCCCAGCACUCCUCCAUGUUCUCCUCCAUCUGCCUCCUGUCCAUUGAUCAGCCUUCCAGGGCAUCAGUCUGUUUAACAUCUGCUACAAGUUCCAGCAGCUCAGGUUUCCCAGAGACUAUGGGUUGAGGAGGAAUUGGAAGUUUGUCGGCUUAGACCUGGUGUCAUUCCAUCAGUGUUUAACUUCCCGGCUCAUCUUGGAAGAGUACGUGCCAGAAAGACCACGAGCAAGCAGCCUUGAGAUCUUAGGCAGCGUCUCCCUCAGGUCCCUCUCUAUCUCCCCACACAUCCACCAACCACUGGAACACAUCUCCAAAGUUCUGCCGGGCCAGCUCAGCUUCCCCUCAGAAGAAGUUCCGCCAGAUGAAGGAGCCUUUUGAGAGGCAGCUGGCAUCGUGAUUGGACUGUACUUUGGUCUGUUCCAAUCCAGCUUCAGCUCCAGAGACGGCAGGCGGGACGAGUCAAUGGAGGCCUGGUGGACGAAGGCAUGCAGCUGAGUACAAUCCAGAAAACAACACAGGAGGAGUGCAGUGGCCCAGGGCCAGAACAAACAGAAUAGCAUCGUAUGUCUCUUAGAAAACAUCAUAGUAUAGCCUUUGGUAUGAAAAAACACCAUCAUAUACAUUGUAUAUUGUACAAAUAACAAGUCAAAGGAAAGAGACAUACAUUGUAGAAUUGUAGUAAUUGUGGGCUGACUGAUUUACUGAUUAUCAGUAUUUUAUUUUUUACUGAUUUACGGUAAUAAAUACAUUUUAAAAUGG